rnacentral:rRNA from 1 species
GAUGAACGCUGGCGGCGUGCCUAAUACAUGCAAGUCGAGCGAACGGACGAGAAGCUUGCUUCUCUGAUGUUAGCGGCGGACGGGUGAGUAACACGUGUAUAACCUACCUAUAAGACUGGUAUAACUUCGGGAAACCGGAGCUAAUACCGGAUAAUAUUUUGAACCGCAUGGUUCAAUAGUGAAAGACGGUCUUUCUGUCACUUAUAGAUGGAUCCGCGCUGCAUUAGCUAGUUGGUAAGGUAACGGCUUACCAAGGCAACGAUGCAUAGCCGACCUGAGAGGGUGAUCGGCCACACUGGAACUGAGACACGGUCCAGACUCCUGCGGGAGGCAGCAGUAGGGAAUCUUACGCAAUGGGCGAAAGCCUGACGGAGCAACGCCGCGUGAGUGAUGAAGGUCUUCGGAUCGUAAAACUCUGUUAUUAGGGAAGAACAUAUGUGUAAGUAACUGUGCACAUCUUGACGGUACCUAAUCAGAAAGCCACGGCUAACUACGUG